CAGUAGCCACGGUAAUACGUAGGUGGCAAGCGUUGUCCGGAAUUAUUGGGCGUAAAGGGCUCGCAGGCGGUUUCUUAAGUCUGAUGUGAAAGCCCCCGGCUCAACCGGGGAGGGUCAUUGGAAACUGGGAAACUUGAGUGCAGAAGAGGAGAGUGGAAUUCCACGUGUAGCGGUGAAAUGCGUAGAGAUGUGGAGGAACACCAGUGGCGAAGGCGACUCUCUGGUCUGUAACUGGCGCUGAGGAGCGAAAGCGUGGGGAGCGAACAGGAUUAGAUACCCCCGUAGUCCCUGUCUCUUAUAA
rnacentral:rRNA from 1 species